GUAAACGUCGCACCAAGAUAUGCUUUGCUUUACAAUAGAGUAUUUAAAGAACUGAAAUGUGUAAAGAACCGCCCAUCAGGCUCUGGAUGAAGGAGGCCAAAGCUAUUUGCUGAGGAGGACAAGGCGACUGAAGAACAGAGACCGCUGUCAGCAGCAGUACAGAGAAGGGUCAGGCAGAGAUAAAGCACUACAGAGGCUCUCCUCCUACGCUGACCUCAGUGAGUCCAGUAACCUGGUAAUGGGACAUGACGGACAUUCUGCCAGUAGUUUCUGACUUGGCACAGCAAACAUGUUCUACUGACGGGGACAAUAUCAGCCAGGAGCGGGCUUGGCGGUUGCCUGAAAAAGCAGACAUGUUGAUUGAUUUUUAAGAAUUUCUGAACAAUGUAAAGAUCUUUCGGUGGAUUUAUACUCAUACAGAGUGGAUAUGACGCAUCAGUAUAAAUCCUACUUUAAAUAUGCAGCAGUAAGCCUUAUGUACUGACUUGCAACCGUUCAUUUUUCACUGUAUUGGUCACAUUUUGCUCCUUUGUGCUCUUAUAUACUGUUGGAGCUGCAGUGGCUCAGGAUACAAGGCAGUUGUGGUAAUCUGACAGUUUGAUUUUUGCUCAGUAAAAAUGUAAUUUAAUGAUGCUUCAUAAAAUUGGUAUCAAAAAAGUAUAGUUCAGGAACCCGUGUCAAAGUCAAGGUAUCGAAAUUUUAGAAUGAUACCCAUGCCUAGUGGGGAGAGAGGGCGGACCCACCGAUCUGAGUGGGUUAGUGACAGUGAGGAGUGUCAGCAUUUUACCCAAAGUUGAAUAUUUUCCAACUUUCAGCGACCAUGAUGUUGGACAACCACAGCUCCACCCACCUUAGUCUUGGCAAGGUGCUGGAAACAUCAGUAAGUCCAAAUUGUAUGUUCUGAGGGGAUAUAAUAGACUGAAAGCUCCAGAAUUAAAGCAACACUUACCUUUCUGGAAA